rnacentral:tRNA from 1 species
GCCCAGAUGGCGGAAUUNGUAGACGCGCUAGCUUCAGGUGCUAGUCGCUAUANAGUCGUGGGAGUUCAAGUUUCCCUCUAGGCACCA